CUCUCUGAUCUGACUAACCUCUUUCAUUCUUUGCCCUAUGUUAUAUGGCUUAGACCAAAGUCUGAGACAUUUAACCAAUUUAUAAAUAUUAAAUGCAGAAGGCAUACUCUAUCAGUUCCCAGGAACAUCAAAGAAGCUGGAAGGGGAAUGGAAACUGGAUGGCACUUUGUGGAGGUCACUUUUCUGACAGUCAAGUAUUCAAGGAUCUCCUACAAUACCCGGUCUUUAAAGUAUUAUACAAAAUAUCAGGCCCAGUUCCAGGGCGCAACUUGAGCCAGCAGCGUAUGCCAGCAAAAUAGCAGUAGCAAGAAGAAAGCCAGCAGAAGACACCUACCCUGGCCGGAAGACAGGUACCCUGAAGAUGGAGGAAGGGGCCAUCCGGGUACGACGUAGGAGUUACGUCAGACUAGGACACUUCCUGUUUAUAGGAGACUAUAAAACCUUUGCCCUGUCCUCAGUAGGGGCUGAUGCCAUUUGAGGCCUCAGCCCGCCUGCACCCAGGCGCUUGUUAAAACAGCGUGUUGCUUCACACCGCCUCAUGUUGUCUGUUGGCACGCUCUCAGGGUUGGAACCAACACAAGAACCUUACACAUAUCAUACUGCACCAAAUAAAAAUAGUCUAAAAUAACAACAGCCAAUAUAGGCACAAACCUUAAAGUGUCUUCAUAGAAAUAACACAUCGAUGUACUUGAUAAACUAAAGUGUAGAUAUUUUAUGUGGAAUAAAGUUUGAAGAGAGGUAUACCAAUUGAAUGUCAGCCUGUUCUUUGUGAGAAAACAAUUAUCCCUUCUCUUCGAAGAGUCAGGAAGGCUUUACUAACAAAAUAAUAUACCAAGGACAGUGUGAAUAGUGAAAUUCAGAAUACUUGAGACCGUGGCCCUGGGAAUAAAUUGAAAUGCGUGCAAUUUUGAGCAGAUUUGAGAACGGUGUCCUCAUUUCUUGUAUAUCCCUUACAUGACCGGAUGCACCAGCUGUACCAUUUCUGUCACUGGUUUACUCAUCUCCCUUUAUACUGUCUUUUGCUUCAUGCUUUGCAGUGCCUGAGGCUGAAGCUUGUGACUGAUCAUGCGCCUCUAUUCCCUAGGAGUUUUACCAAUGAAUGUCAUCUCUCCUGUUUUAAAGAUGAGCAAGUAAAAUCAACCAACAUAACACCUGAAGAUAACAGAUUCUCUAAAAUGAAUAUUUUAAAACAAGAGAAGUGAUGGGAAGAUGGAAUGAGGCAUGGAUGGAGGCACUGUGCUCUGAUCCUGUAUUUUUAUGUAUGGAGCAAAGCUACACUGGUUGCUCAACCUAAUUUCAAGGUAAAGUUGCUUGCAGCAUGCUGAAUUCAGCAAAACCAAAUAAAUAGAAACCUUUUCCUGACCCAUAGGGAAAGAAAUGACACCAUUAAUAUAUUCUCAGUGUUAAUUAUUUUCCACAUGUAUUUAUCUUUACUUCCUUGGUAUCUGUUACCACUUAUCCUCCAGGAAACAUUGGUGUUAGUAAAAUUCACAGAGCUCAUAUAAAAAUAAAAAUAGUAAACCCUCAUAACAUUAAUUCUAACUCUUUUUGAGAACUUUCUCUUUUCCAUGCUCUACAUGCAUUAGCUCAUCUAGAACACUCAUCAUCAUUGAACAUAUACAAAAAGUAUAAAUAUAUUUACCUUCAUUAUAUCACUGAGAAAAACUGAAGUUUAAUGACUACAGUAGUUAAGGCAACACUAGCUGCUAGAACAGAUAAGCCCUGAAAUCUUAGCAGC